GACGAACGCUGGCGGCGUGCUUAACACAUGCAGGUCGAACGGAAAGGCCCUGCUUUUGUGGGGUGCUCGAGUGGCGAACGGGUGAGUAACACGUGAGUAGCCUGCCCUUGACUUUGGGAUAACUUCAGGAAACUGGGGCUAAUACCGGAUAGGAGCUCCUGCUGCAUGGUGGGGGUUGGAAAGUUUCGGCGGUUGGGGAUGGACUCGCGGCUUAUCAGCUUGUUGGUGGGGUAGUGGCUUACCAAGGCUUUGACGGGUAGCCGGCCUGAGAGGGUGACCGGCCACAUUGGGACUGAGAUACGGCCCAGACUCCUACGGGAGGCAGCAGUGGGGAAUAUUGCACAAUGGGCGGAAGCCUGAUGCAGCAACGCCGCGUGCGGGAUGACGGCCUUCGGGUUGUAAACCGCUUUCGCCUGUGACGAGGCGUGAGUGACGGUAAUGGGUAAAGAAGCACCGGCUAACUACGUG
rnacentral:rRNA from 1 species